rnacentral:lncRNA from 1 species
AUUUCAAUAUUUCAUAGAUGUUAAAAAAAUGGGCAAAUCUCUAAAAUAGCACUUUCUAAGUUUAUAUCACAAAAAUAGCACUCUAAAACUAAAAUGACCAAAAUAGCACAUUUCUAAGUUUAUCAUUUGAAAAUUUUAAUUUUUUUAUUUUUCAAAAUUUGAAAUCGUAUCCCCAAAACCUCAUUUCUCAACUCUAAACCCUAAACCUUAAACUCUAAACCCUAAACCCUAAACCCUAAACCCUAAACUCUAAACUCUAAACUCUAAACUCUAAACCCUAAACUCAAAAUCCUAA